rnacentral:lncRNA from 10 species
CUGCCCUAGUACCUGUCUGUCACAACAAGUUAACUCCUCUGUGAUGCGGACGUGGUCAGAGAGCCCCCCUAACACUGUCGCCAUCCUGAUUCCCAAGGCAGCCCUGGCCUGCUCACUGAAGCUGGGGAGAGAGGAUGAUGACAAGCUAAGACCACAAAUCUCUCCUGAGGGAGUCAGGGGAGCAGGAGAUGUGGGUGGUGCUGAGCUCCCACUGCCUCCCAGGGCAGAGAGGACCGCAGUCCAGUCCUCAACCUGUGCGAAAGGUUUGGGGAAAUGACAACUGAGUUUCCAGCACACGUCAGUGCAAAGCAGCUUAUUCCAGGUGCCCAGCAGCCCCACGUGGCCAGUGGCCACCACACUGAAGCGCAGCUCGGAGGACUCUGACUGCCCUGAGCUGAGGGAGGUGACGGGUCUGAAACACUCUUUUCUGCCAGAAGUUAGGGGACACCUCCUCCCUCCCAACAGCUCUCUUCAGGCCCAAGAGUGAGAGAUGGUGCCUCUAGAGGGCAGGGGCUACAAGAACAAAGUGUCCACAGGUUUCCCUGCUGCCCACCUGCUGCCCAUCGUCUUUCCAGAGAUCAGAAAAUGAACAAAGGAUGAUGGGGCCCCCAAAAGGAGGAAACCCAGUGUCUUCAGAUCUGUCCACAGCCUUGACCUACGAAGUUUAGAUAUGGAGGGAAUAGAUUAAAGGCACACUUACUUUGCUAUUUGGCCUUGACCCUAACGGUCAGGCUGUGUACAUUUGUUUCCUCACAUGCUGUGGAGGACUGCGUAGUUUAAGCACCAAUUACAUGCAGACAUGUCUACAUGCAUUUCUGUGUAACUCGAUGCCAUCAAGCAAGAGGCCCAACUUUAAAUAAGAGGAAAAGAAAAU